rnacentral:tRNA from 1 species
CCCGCCUUAACUCAGACUGGUAGAGUGCGCGGCUGUAGUAUGAUUUACCGUUCAGGUAAACGCGCGGCUACCGCGAUGUCCCCGGUUCGAUUCCGGGAGGCGGGA